rnacentral:pre_miRNA from 1 species
UAUUAGGUUGGUGCAAAAGUCAUUGUGGUUUUUGCUGUUGAAAGUAAUGACAGAAACCGCAAUGACUUUUGCACCAACCUAAUA